GCAGGGAAUUUUGCACAAUGGACGAAAGUCUGAUGCAGCGACGCCGCGUGGGGGAUGAAUGCCUUCGGGUUGUAAACCCCUUUCAGGAGGGACGAAGCGAAAGUGACGGUACCUCCAGAAGAAGCCCCGGCCAACUACGUGCCAGCAGCCGCGGUAAUACGUAGGGGGCGAACGUUGUCCGGAUUUAUUGGGCGUAAAGAGCUCGUAGGCGGCUCAGCAAGUCGGCCGUGAAAACCCGGGGCUCAACCCCGGGACGCCGGUCGAAACUGCUGUGGCUAGGGUCCGGUAGAGGAGAGUGGAAUUCCCGGUGUAGCGGUGAAAUGCGCAGAUAUCGGGAGGAACACCAGUUGCGAAGGCGGCUCUCUGGGCCGGUACCGACGCUGAGGAGCGAAAGCUAGGGGAGCAAACAGGAUUAGAAACCCUGGUAGUCC
rnacentral:rRNA from 1 species